AGUGAACGCUGGCGGUAGGCCUAACACAUGCAAGUCGAACGGCAGCACAGUAAGAGCUUGCUCUUACGGGUGGCGAGUGGCGGACGGGUGAGGAAUACAUCGGAAUCUACUUUUUCGUGGGGGAUAACGUAGGGAAACUUACGCUAAUACCGCAUACGACCUACGGGUGAAAGCAGGGGAUCUUCGGACCUUGCGCGAUUGAAUGAGCCGAUGUCGGAUUAGCUAGUUGGCGGGGUAAAGGCCCACCAAGGCGACGAUCCGUAGCUGGUCUGAGAGGAUGAGCAGCCACACUGGAACUGAGACACGGUCCAGACUCCUACGGGAGGCAGCAGUGGGGAAUAGUGGGCAAUGGGCGCAAGCCUGAUCCAGCCGUACCGCGUGGGUGAAGAAGGCCUUCGGGUUGUAAAGCCCUUUUGUUGGGAAAGAAAAGCAGCAGGUUAAUACCCCGCUGUUCUGACGGUACCCAAAGAAUAAGCACCGGCUAACUUCGUG
rnacentral:rRNA from 1 species